rnacentral:lncRNA from 1 species
ACCUACAGGAACUGGUUAAAAAAAGGACCAAGAACUACAUAGGUCUGAUACUCACUUCCUUGAAAAGAGGGAGACAAGUUAUGUAGGUUGUGACCGUUCAAGAAAUGUAGCGGUUGCUCGACCAAAGCCGAUCAAAGAAUCGAUUAUAUGCCUGAUAUUGCCAGAAGACCGAUGAUACUUACCAGAAGUGAAGUAGAGAAGAGCAGGAAAUUUCAUAUUUUGAAUAAAAAACUUAAGAUGUUCAUCUCCAAGCCUAGCCUACUCUACAUUAUCAUAUGGUUUCGCGGGCCAAAGUCUAAAAGCCGGUCAAUAAGACAGAUCCGGAUCCUAGUGCUUUCGAGAUGGUUCGAUCGCUAACAAAGACAAGCAUAGGAAAGAGCAGACUCCCAACAAGCAAACAAGCAACUCCAAGAGCUCAAACCUAAAGCAAAGCGGUAAGGCGCAUCCUCAUUGCUCGCAAGCGUAGGCUCGAAGGCCGAAGCGCGCUAGUGC